rnacentral:rRNA from 1 species
AGUGAACGCUGGCGGUAGGCCUAACACAUGCAAGUCGAACGGCAGCACAGUAAGAGCUUGCUCUUACGGGUGGCGAGUGGCGGACGGGUGAGGAAUACAUCGGAAUCUACUUUUUCGUGGGGGAUAACGUAGGGAAACUUACGCUAAUACCGCAUACGACCUACGGGUGAAAGCAGGGAAUCUUCGGACCUUGCGCGAUUGAAUGAGCCGAUGUCGGAUUAGCUGGUUGGGGGGGUAAAGGCCCACCAAGGCGACGCUCCGUAGGUGGUCUGAGAGGAUGAUUGGGCACACUGGAACUGAGACACGGUCCAGACUCCUACGGGAGGCAGCAGUGGGGAAUAUUGGACAAGGGGCGAAAGCCUGAUCCAGCCAUACCGCGUGGGUGAAGAAGGCCUUCGGGUUGUAGAGCCCUUUUGUUGGGAAAGAAAAGCAGCAGGUUAAUACCCCGCUGUUCUGACGGUACCAAAAGAAUAAGCACCGGCUAACUUCGUG